rnacentral:snRNA from 1 species
CUCACUUCAGCAGCACCUAUGCUAAAAUUGGGAUGAUACAGAGAAAAUUAGCGUGGCCCCUGCGCAAGAA